UGAGGAAUAUUGGUCAAUGGGCGCAAGCCUGAACCAGCCAUCCCGCGUGAAGGAUGAAGGCCCGAUGGGUCGUAAACUUCUUUUAUACACCAAGAAAAAGCAGGACGUGUCCUGCCCCGACGGUAGUGUAUGAAUAAGCAUCGGCUAACUCCGUGCCAGCAGCCGCGGUAAUACGGAGGAUGCGAGCGUUAUCCGGAUUCAUUGGGUUUAAAGGGUGCGUAGGCGGCUUUUUAAGUCAGUGGUGAAAUCUUGCCGCUUAACGGUAAAAUUGCCAUUGAUACUGAUAAGCUUGAGUACAAUUGAGGUAAGCGGAAUGUGUAGUGUAGCGGUGAAAUGCUUAGAUAUUACACAGAACACCGAUUGCGAAGGCAGCUUACUAUGGUGUGAUUGACGCUGAGGCACGAAAGCGUGGGGAUCAAACA
rnacentral:rRNA from 1 species